rnacentral:sRNA from 1 species
GUUCUUUUGGCUCCCCCGCCUGUUGAACGCUUCCUGAGCGUUUGGGUCUAAAGCCGGUUACUGUGCCGCGUGAGUCUCUUUUCCGAGCAAUAGCCUAAAAGGCUUUUAUCAGAAAAUCUUUAGAAUUUCUCGACUUCUGUUUUGAAGAAACUUAAGACACUUUCCAAGAGAGGGAGGGGGAAUGCAGGAGAGGGUGAAACAACAAAAAUUGUGUUGAAAACUCAAAGAAUCCAAAUUCAUGGGCCGGGCAGUGGUGGCACAUCCUAGGACUCAGGAGGCAGAAGCAGAAGAAACUUCGUGAGUUUGAGGCCAGCCUGGUCUACAGAGGGAGUUCAUCUAGUCUGUGCCAUUUAUAUUUGACAAUUUGACACAAACCCAGGUCAUCUGGAAAGAGAAAACGUCAACUGAGAAAAUGCCUCCAAGAGAUUGGCCUGUGGGCCAUUUUCUUAAUUGAUGAUUGAUUUGGAAGGGUCCAGCUCACUGUGGGCGGUGCCACCCCUGGGCAGGUACUUCUGGGUAUACUCUAAGCAAGCAGGCAAAGCAAGCCAAUAAGCAGGGGUCCCCAGUGUUCUCUGCUUCAGUUCCUGCCUCAGGUGCCUGCCCUGACUUCCCUUCAGGACAGACUGACUGUAUGCUAUAAGCCGAAAUAAACCCUUUCCUCCCCAGGUUGCUUUUGCCAUGGUGUUUUAUCACAGCACCUGACGGUCUGUAAUAUUGUGUUACUGGUAACAAAAGGAGUACAAUUGCUCCUCCUAACUCUCAUCAUGACCUUCUCAGCUGUCCUCCACUUAGUGCACAGAACUCAGGCUAGGAAAAUGACUUUUCCAAGCUUACACAGUAAGUGGGUAAGUGGCAGAGGCAAGGUUUAGUCCAGAUCUUUAUAGGUCUGUGCCCUAUAAACUCUUUGGUGAUUGAGAGCAGUAAACCUGUUCUCCUGGGGAAGUCAGGGCUUCAGACCUGAUAGCAUGAACAUUCCCUGCAAAAAAUUGACUCCUCCCACUUCUUUCCUGAGCCAGGGCCUUUCUACACAGCUCUGACUGUUGUGGAAACUCACUGUGUAGACCAGUGUCUCUGCUCUUGAGCUCUAGGACUAAAGGCAUGCACUACAACACCAGACAAGUUUCAUUUUCUUGAUUAAGAUCCCAUGUUGCUACAUGAACUCAGAAAGGCAAAUGCUUCUUCCUGGAGCUUCCUAACAUGACAGGCCAAAGGACUUGUGCCCCAUCUAGCCUGCCCUUCUGGAAGAUCAGCCCCACAGCAUGGAGAGCUGCACCACCACUCCCGGCUAGAUCCAGUUUUCUUUCUACUUUCCAAAUAGAUAAUGACACUGAGUAUGUUUCCCUGGACCCCUCAGAUACUCAUAUGUUACUAAAGAACCUAGCAGUCCCACUCCCAGUUAUAUGCCUAAGGGUAACUUAGAAUAUGCACCAUACGAAAGAAAUUGGGGGUGGUGAUAAGAUGGCUUAGGAGGUAAAGGCAUUCGCCAAACCUGACAGAUAAGCCGGAGUCCAUCUCUGGGACUGAUGUGGUAGAAGAUAACUAAUUCCUGCCGGAUAAUCCUCUGGCCUCAAUAUACACACCGUAGUGUGAAUGUACCUACAUACAUGCACAUACACAAAAUAAAUUACCGUAAUUAAAAAAAAUUAUAAUAGAUGCCCACAUUUAAAAUACAACAACAAACUCAACUACGUGUGGAGCUGCAUGGGGUGGCGUGUGCCUGUAAGUUUAGAACUCAGGAAGCUGAGGCAGAGGGCUGAAGAGAUAGCUCAGCCUUUGAGAACACUGGCUGCCCCUCCACAAGGUCAGUUUCCCAGCACCCACAUGGUGGUUGACAACCGUUACUUCAGUUCCAAUGGUUCUGAUGUCCUCUUCUAGCCUCUGCUGACACCAAGCAUACAUGCAGACAAAAUACGCAAAUAAGUUUAAAAAAAUGCUUAAAACCAAAAGUUUAAAAGUGGCUGGUUCAUUAUGUAUGUAGGAAAAAUAUAUU